rnacentral:rRNA from 1 species
AGAAUCAACGCUGGCGGCGUGCCUAACACAUGCAAGUCGAACGAGAAAGGGGAGCAAUCCCUGAGUACAGUGGCGACCGGGUGAGUAACACGUGACUAACCUACCCUCGAGUGUGGAAUAACAUCGGGAAACCGAUGCUAAUACCGCAUAACAUCGCAAGAUCAAAGGAGUAAUCCGCUUGAGGAGGGGGUCGCGGCUGAUUAGCUAGUUGGCGGGUAAUGGCCCACCAAGGCGAAGAUCGGUAUCCGGCCUGAGAGGGCGCACGGACACACUGGAACUGAAACACGGUCCAGACUCCUACGGGAGGCAGCAGUGGGGAAUUUUGCGCAAUGGGGGAAACCCUGACGCAGCAACGCCGCGUGGAGGAUGAAGCCCCUUGGGGCGUAAACUCCUUUCGACCAAGACGAUAAUGACGGUACUGGUGGAAGAAGCACCGGCUAACUCUGCGCCAGCAGCCGC